UACGUAGGGUGCGAGCGUUAAUCGGAAUUGCUGGGCGUAAAGCGUGCGCAGGCGGUGAUGUAAGACAGGUGUGAAAUCCCGGGGCUCAACCUCGGAACUGCAUUUGUGACUGCAUCGCUGGAGUGCGGCAGAGGGGGAUGGAAUUCCGCGUGUAGCAGUGAAAUGCGUAGAUAUGCGGAGGAACACCGAUGGCGAAGGCAAUCCCCUGGGCCUGCACUGACGCUCAUGCACGAAAGCGUGGGGAGCAAACAGG
rnacentral:rRNA from 1 species